rnacentral:rRNA from 1 species
UACGGGGGGGAGCAAGCGUUGUUCGGAUUUACUGGGCGUAAAGGGCGCGUAGGCGGCCUGCUAAGUCGGACGUGAAAAUCCCUCGGCUCAACCGGGGAACUGCGUCCGAUACUGGCGGGCUUGAAUCCGGGAGAGGAAUGCGGAAUUCCAGGUGUAGCGGUGAAAUGCGUAGAUAUCGGGAGGAACACCAAUGGCGAAGGCAGCUUGCUGGGACGGUACUGACGCUGAGGCGCGAAAGCGUGGGGAGCAAACAGG